rnacentral:rRNA from 1 species
ACGCUGGCGGCAGGCCUAACACAUGCAAGUCGAGCGGCAGCACGGGUACUUGUACCUGGUGGCGAGCGGCGGACGGGUGAGUAAUGCCUAGGAAUCUGCCUGGUAGUGGGGGAUAACGCUCGGAAACGGACGCUAAUACCGCAUACGUCCUACGGGAGAAAGCAGGGGACCUUCGGGCCUUGCGCUAUCAGAUGAGCCUAGGUCGGAUUAGCUAGUUGGUGAGGUAAUGGCUCACCAAGGCGACGAUCCGUAACUGGUCUGAGAGGAUGAUCAGUCACACUGGAACUGAGACACGGUCCAGACUCCUACGGGAGGCAGCAGUGGGGAAUAUUGGACAAUGGGCGAAAGCCUGAUCCAGCCAUGCCGCGUGUGUGAAGAAGGUCUUCGGAUUGUAAAGCACUUUAAGUUGGGAGGAAGGGCAGUUACCUAAUACGUAUCUGUUUUGACGUUACCGACAGAAUAAGCACCGGCUAACUCUGUGCCAGCAGCCGCGGUAAUACAGAGGGUGCAAGCGUUAAUCGGAAUUACUGGGCGUAAAGCGCGCGUAGGUGGUUUGUUAAGUUGAAUGUGAAAUCCCCGGGCUCAACCUGGGAACUGCA